GGGGGCGUAAAGGUUUCGACGGGGGUUUGGAACUUGAGGUAGCGAGUCAUGUUUCUCUAGAGCAUGUAAAAACUAGGGACUAAAUAUAAACGCAAACGAUAAUUACGCUUUAGCAGCCUAAUAGCGCUGCUCGUUCUACCUAGCUUGCCCACGAGUUAGAAUAGAACGUCAUUUAAGUGGGGACCUAUCUUUAGGGUGCCUUGACUAAAGACAGAUUAACUGAGGCUGGUCGAUCUUAGAGCCCGCUACUAGGCACUAGGAGAGACGAGAACUUAAUAUAGUAGAUACACUCGUAGAAGCUUUAGGGAAAGGGCUUUCGGACAGGGGUUCGACUCCCCUCGCCUCCACCA
rnacentral:sRNA from 1 species